GACGAACGCUGGCGGCGUGCUUAACACAUGCAAGUCGAACGGGAUUUAGUAAACAGAAACCUCGGUGGAAGAUUACUAAUGAGAGUGGCGAACGGGUGAGUAACGCGUGAGCAACCUGCCUAUGACAGUGGGAUAGCCUCGGGAAACCGGGAUUAAUACCGCAUAAAAUCGUAGAAACACAUGUUUUAACGGUCAAAGAUUUAUCGGUCAUAGAUGGGCUCGCGUCUGAUUAGCUAGUUGGUGAGAUAACAGCCCACCAAGGCGACGAUCAGUAGACGGGCUGAGAGAAUGAACGGCCACAUUGGAACUGAGACACAGUCCAAACUCCUACGGGAGGCAGCAGUGGGGAAUAUUGCACAAUGGGGGAAACCCUGAUGCAGCGACGCCGCGUGAACGAAGAAGGUAUUCGUAUCGUAAAGUUCUGUCCUAUGGGAAGAUAAUGACAGUACCAUAGAAGAAAGCUCCGGCUAAAUACGUG
rnacentral:rRNA from 1 species